ACAGUUUCUAUUUGCGCAUUUUUGCCCUGACUUUACUAACACUUAACUGUCAAUUCAGAAAAUGAACAAAAUAUUUUGUAGAUGCAUCCUUUCUAACACGAAUCUUCGUUUAUGUAUUUUUAAGUCUCUUUCUUACUUCUGUGGCAACUUUUAGCUCUGUGUGAAUUAUUUCCUGUUUUGUUUCGCCCUGUGAUUUUGACAACUUAUUGUUUGACACUUUUUAAAAGCAUGUAUAAAGCUCAACACUACACCAGAUGCUCAGUAAAUCAGGGUCAAAUGAAUCUUCACUGAAGUAAGUUUUUCUGUUGAUUUUAAAAGGAACAUGGUGACAUUUCGACAUCUGCUCUGCCAAGCGGUAAAGGAAGCACGGUGACAUUUACCCAUUCAUCAACUGGCUUCAUUUGUGUAACAACCAUAGGGAGUAAUGCUACAGCAAAGUGUCUUCCUGUCUGCAGAGGGUAAGAGGCCUGGUCCCCUCUAAAAAGCGAUGCAGCAGAGCAUGAGCGCACAAGGUCAGUCUCUCUCCUGUGGUUUCUUCUGCAAUGGUAUAGCCUGACUUCCUGUGAAAGAUUACCAUCAAGCCUCUCGUAUUCUCACUGAUGCUUAUCUUUUGAGCCACAAAUGCCAACUCCCUGAACAUCUCUACACCUUGGCCCCCAGUGACAGCUCCACUGGCCUGUCAAUCUGGCAGUCCAUCCUGUGUCCUCAACCCCCCCUCUCAUCCUCAUCCCAGCAGCCAAAAAAUGAGCCUCCUCUAUCAUGGACCUGUCAUCAAGAAAUAAGAUCCAGAGUCCCAGUCUGGGGUGUGAUGAACACAGAGGCUGAAUAUGGGAGAGAUUUGUGUACGUGUAUGAUCAAAGUUUCAGUUUAAUAUAACCUAAGCUUCAGUGUAUUUAAAGUUGUCUUGUUUAAGUUACAGAUGUUGAAUUCCUAGCUCCACAGGAAGGAUGCAUGUGAGUGCGCUGAUAAACCACAUCACGUAAAGAAGCAUCAUUGAACAGCUGCAGAAGUAGUCUGUAUCAGGAGGCCCUCCUCUACACAGAAGAACCACAAAGUGACAGUAACUGUGGGCUGACAUUUCCUGCAAAGAAAUUACCUAACAUUCACAAAUGGAUUGGUUUAAACAUAUUUCCCAAUCGAUAUUUACAUUUGAUUUGUUGUUCUAACCAAUCAAAAGAUUUAUUUUGCUUUUUUAUGUCUCAAAAGCUAAAAGAAUAAAAAUGAAAACAGACAAGACUCAGUGUGUAAAGCCGUCUUAGCGGAACUGUGAGGCUUAGGCAGUGCUGCACUUUGUAAUGACAACUCACUGAAGCCCUGCUGUAUAAAACCCCCCACAAAAAACAAGUUCAAGCAUUUAACAAAAAUGAAGUUAAAAAUGCCAAAGCAGUGUGAAAACCUAAAUAUACCUAAACAUGAUCUAAUAGAAUAUAGAACUCUAUUUACCAGAAUAACUUAAGUUAAGUAUGAAGCAUGACAUUUUGUGUGCGACCUUAUCAGUCUCCUCCAUCGUUGUGGAGGAGUUUUGGGGCAUCCUUCUUUUUCAGCGUUCAGUUCAGUUCACUGAGGUUUGUGGGCAUUUAUUUUAGCACAGAUCUCUUAGUCACACCACAGCUGAGGUCAGGACGUUGAUUUUGCCUUUUUGCAAGACCUUGAUUCUUUUCUUUUUUAGCCCUUUGGCUGUAGAUUUGAUGCUGUGCUUGGAUUCAUUUUGCACAGACCUAAGCUGUGCUGCCAUGUUCUGAGAAGAGCAUUUCUCCUGGCAACACUUCCUGUCUUGAAAAUUGAAGAUAUAUCUGCAGUCCCCAGGUAGCUACUGAAAUGACAAAUGAGGCCUGUAGAUGUAGCUCUUGGGGGUUUUGCAGUUUCUCUAAGCAUUUCGCCAUCUGACCUUUGGUGAAUUUGCAUCCACUACUAGGAGACUGGCAAGUUUCUUGAAUGUUUUUGACUUUCUCACUGUAGAAUGAUGAAUGUCAAAUUGUUUGGAACGCCUUCACAAACCUUCCCAGAUUAAUGGACAGCAAGAAUUGCUGUUUUUUCUCCUUUGCAUUGUGUUAACACCUGAAUGUUCCAGACCUGUACAGCACCAGUACUUCUGCUUUUAUAUAAGUGGUCAAUUUUCAGACGAUUAAUCAAAUACAGGAGCACCUGGCUGCUAAUUACCCUCUUAAUAGAUGCGUAUCUGUUGUUUGUUUUAAACAAGUGUUGACAACAGAUGUUUCUAAAUUAGCUUUUGCUUCAUCUUUAUUCCAUUAAUUUUCACCAUUUUACAGCUAAUGCAUGUAUGGAAGUUUAUAUGUGUGAUGAAUGUAAGACCAUUUGCUUGACUGUGUCUGUGUGCUGGAACUGGAACUAACUAUAAUUAUAUGUGUGUAUGAGUUUUAAAAAGUGCUAUACAAAUUUAAUGAUGAUUAUUAUUAGUAUUGCAUUUUGACUUGCUAUUUGUGAUCUGUUUCAGGACCUCUUUUUUAAUAUGUUCAGUUCCUUUAGGUAUUUCCUAAUAAACUAAUAGUGAGAUAGAAAUGAAGUGUUAAUUUCAGUCUUGAUUCUCACCUAUUCCACAUAUGACUGCAUGCUUUUAGAACAGUCAUUUUUCAAAGUUUCAAAAGUUGUCAAUAAAGGUCCGUGUUCACCAUAAUAAGCACUUAACUUGAAUUAUGCUUCAAUCUUUAAUGAUACAAAAAUGACACCAUGUGACUCUUUCUUUGUUACAUUAUUUGUCACUAUGGAAACAAACUUACUUUUAUCGCCAUGCGUUAUUUAGUUGGCAUUAAAAGCUCUAGAUAUAGCAGUAGAUGGCCUUUAUGCAAAGAAGACACAUGUUGUCUGGAAAAGAUUGAA